rnacentral:misc_RNA from 1 species
AGGUGUGGGUAUCCAGACUCUAUAUUUUUUUAGACUAAACAGUUAUGUUCAUAAAUCCUUGUAUGCAUCAAUGUCAACCUCAGAUCUUUCAACUUUGAGUUAGAAAUAAAACUCCAGUCAUACAAAAGCAAAACCAACAAUGGCAAAAUAUAAACAAACUUUCUUUCUAAAAAAAUAUAGAGUCUGGAUACCCACACCUAAAAGAAAUUACAAAUGAAACAAGUCAAAACUUCUCACUGGAAGCUGACAACCGUCAGUUGUUCUUGGCAGCUGCAGCCUGCUUCGCACCAACAGAGAAGAACUCAGUUAUUACUUCAAGGGGCAUGCCCUUGGUUUCUGGAACUUUCAAGAACACAAAUACUAAUGAUAUGAUGCACACGACUGCAUACAACCCAAAAACAC